rnacentral:rRNA from 1 species
UACGUAGGGGGCUAGCGUUGUCCGGAAUCAUUGGGCGUAAAGCGCGUGUAGGCGGUCCUGUAAGUCCGCUGUGAAAGUCGGGGGCUCAACCCUCGGAUGCCGGUGGAUACUGUCGGGCUUGAGUACGGAAGAGGCGAGUGGAAUUCCUGGUGUAGCGGUGAAAUGCGCAGAUAUCAGGAGGAACACCGGUGGCGAAGGCGGUGCUCUGGGCCGGAACUGACGCUGAGGAGCGAAAGCGUGGGGAGCAAACAGG